rnacentral:misc_RNA from 1 species
GUGCAAUGGAGAAUAUGGAAGCUUACAGCGAAAAUGGAGGCCCUUAGCACGAAGAUCUUGAAGUUCCUGAUUGGAAUAUUGGCGAUAGUUUCUGCCCUUGAGACUCUCUGGUGGUGUUAGUGUAAGAGAUGAUGGUGAAGAAGAAGUGGAAGGUCGGAGACUAGACCCAGGGGGCUUAUCCACAGGUGUGGGCUUAUGGACUGAAGAAACAGAUUGGGUAGGAGUAAAAUGGGCCUGAUAUUUUGCACCUGAGCUCAAGAAUGACUUAGAGCCAGAUCCAAAAGAAUUACCCAUCUUCCCCAAAGGAGAGGAAG